CGUUGUCCGGAAUUACUGGGCGUAAAGAGCUCGUAGGUGGUUUGUCGCGUUGUCCGUGAAAACUCACAACUCAAUUGUGGGCGUGCGGGCGAUACGGGCAGACUGGAGUACUGCAGGGGAGACUGGAAUUCCUGGUGUAGCGGUGGAAUGCGCAGAUAUCAGGAGGAACACCGGUGGCGAAGGCGGGUCUCUGGGCAGUAACUGACGCUGAGGCACGAAGGCCAGGGGAGCAAACGGG
rnacentral:rRNA from 1 species